UUUCUUUUAAUUUCAGGAAAUGUAAGAAACCGUCAUUUCAGGUUAUGAAAGCAUGGUCGUGCACCUUCCCAGGCGGAUCCUUACUAAAUGCAGAGUCUGUCUCACCAGUUUCCCAUUUGACACUUGCCUUUGCACAGUUAAAGGAUGGUCUCAGCGUUCUGCACGCCUGCUCUAAGGCUCCCCCGGGGGGGGGGGGUUACCCUACCCUUUGGCUACCCUGCCUCUCUGCUGCCUGGGAGCCUCUGUGUGGUUCUCCUGUGCUCAUAAAAGCUAGCCAGUGGGGCUGGGGAUUUAGCUCAGUGGUAGAGCACUUACCUAGGAAGCGCAAGGCCCUGGGUUCGGUCCCCAGCUCCGGAAAAAAAAGAACAACAACAACAAAAAAAAGCUAGCCAGUGCUCAAACCAGCUCACCUAUCACCAGAAUGCCAGGACUAAGCCAUCCUAAAGCACAAGGAUUGUGUGUCUCUGUCAACUGCAGAGAGAGGAGAAUUUUGCUUCUCUUCUCAAAGAGAAAAGUCAACCAACCAAUCCGAAGCAGGUGACCCAGCCAAAGGGCUCUAGCGUGGGUGACCUCAGGUCGUUCCGCACUGCCACAACUUUACCCAAAGUUGCUCCCUACUGGAACCUGCCGCUUGCCAUUGGAGGGUCACUGGGGGAGGGG
rnacentral:lncRNA from 1 species